rnacentral:rRNA from 1 species
CCUACGGGUGGCAGCAGUGAGGAAUAUUGGUCAAUGGGCGCGAGCCUGAACCAGCCAAGUCGCGUGAGGGAAGACGGUCCUAUGGAUUGUAAACCUCUUUUGUCGGGGAGCAAAAGACGCCACGCGUGGCGUUCCGAGAGUACCCGAUGAAAACGGAUCGGCUAACUCCGUGCCAGCAGCCGCGGUAAUACGGAGGAGGCGAGCGUUAUCCGGAUUUAUUGGGUUUAAAGGGUGCGCAGGCGGAAUAUCAAGUCAGCGGUAAAAUUGAGGGGCUCAAACACUUCGAGCCGUUGAAACUGGUUGUCUUGAGUGAGCGAGAAGUAUGCGGAAUGCGUGGUGUAGCGGUGAAAUGCAGAGAUAUCACGCAGAACUCCGAUUGCGAAGGCAGCAUACCGGCGCUCAACUGACGCUCAUGCACGAAAGUGUGGGUAUCGAACAGGAUUAGAUACCCUUGUAGUC